AUAAAACAAGGGACAAAAACAUGUAUAAAAUUCUAUAACAAUUUCAAGGGAUAAAAACAAGGGAUAAAAUUUAUGGGAUAAAAUUAUGAGAUAAAUAUAGGGAUAAUAUGGGAUAAAAUUUGGGGAUAAUUUCUAAGAUUUUAAGGGAUUUAAAUUAGGGAUAACAUUGGGAUAGAGGAUUUAUCUUAUUACAUUUUUUAAUUUUCUUAAUUAAAUUAAACUAUAUUUUCAAAUCAAAUGGGAGAAGGACAUGAGAUACAAA
rnacentral:lncRNA from 1 species